AUUGAACGCUGGCGGCAUGCCUUACACAUGCAAGUCGAACGGUAACAGGUCUUCGGAUGCUGACGAGUGGCGAACGGGUGAGUAAUACAUCGGAACGUGCCUAGUAGUGGGGGAUAACUACUCGAAAGAGUGGCUAAUACCGCAUGAGAUCUACGGAUGAAAGCAGGGGAUCGCAAGACCUUGUGCUACUAGAGCGGCCGAUGGCAGAUUAGGUAGUUGGUGGGAUAAAAGCUUACCAAGCCGACGAUCUGUAGCUGGUCUGAGAGGACGAUCAGCCACACUGGGACUGAGACACGGCCCAGACUCCUACGGGAGGCGGCAGUGGGGAAUUUUGGACAAUGGGCGAAAGCCUGAUCCAGCAAUGCCGCGUGCAGGAUGAAGGCCUUCGGGUUGUAAGCUGCUUUUGUACGGAACGGAAAGCCCCGGGUUAAUACCCUGGGGUCAUGACGGUACCGUAAGAAUAAGCACUGGCUAACUACGUGCCAGCCGCCGCAGUAA
rnacentral:rRNA from 1 species